rnacentral:rRNA from 1 species
UACGGAGGGUGCAAGCAUUAAUCGGAUUUAUUGGGCGUAAAGGGCGCGUAGGCGGAAAAACAAGUCAGGUGUGAAAUUCCGGAGCUCAACUUCGGAGCUGCACUUGAAACUGUUUAUCUAAGAGGUAUGAAGGAGAAAAUGGAAUUCCACGUGUAGCGGUGAAAUGCGUAGAUAUGUGGAAGAACACCGGUGGCGAAAGCGGUUUUCUAUUUAUUACCUGACGCUGAGGCGCGAGAGCAAGGGGAGCAAACAGG